AUGAAUAAGUUUAAUCCAUGUACUAUUGUUCGUCAUGUAACAAAUGCCAUUAAAAGUAAAUUUUCAAAAUUUUGCCCUUCCUGGAGACAUGCUAGUGAGCAAAUGCGAGAUUUGUGGUUUAUUGAAUUUAAGAAAAAUUGUAUGUGGGAACCUCAACACAAUGCAAGAAUUUGUCAAAUUUUUGAGAUUAAAGGGAGUGAUCGAUUAAGAUCGUUGAUGAAUCAGGAGAGACGCAAUUAUUCAAAAGACCCUAACCAUGUACCAAAAUAUAUUCUUGAACCCGUAUGGCGUCAACUAUUACAUUAUUUUGCUACAGAUUCGAAAUUUAAGAACUGGUCAGCAGCAAAUACUGUGAAUCGAGCAUCAAAUGCUGGAAGUUCCAUGCAUACUGGUGGUUCCAUAUCUAUGGGUGAACAUGCACACAGAAUGGGUGAAUUCAAAAAGCGAAAGACAGAACUUUCUCAAGUAGCUUUAUCCUUGGAUAAUGAGGGAGAUGUUGAGGCAUCUAAGGAAGGCCUAGAUAUACCAGAUGAUUAUACUGUUUGGAACGAAGUUGUGACAAAGGAAAAAAAGAAAGCUGCUUUUGGUUUAGGUUCUUUUGGCUUAGAUCUCUCUUCAAAGUUGGAUUCCAGAAAUUGUUCAGAGACAUCCAAAGACAAUCUAAAUAUUGAGCAAGAACUUCACAUGUGGAAAGAAAAAGCAAAGGAGCAAGAAAUAAUCAAUGAAGAGCAAAAGGUUAAGUUGAAAGAUGCUGAGCACAAGUUAAAAGAUCAAGGACGUCAACUAAAAGUUCAACAGAAAAGAAUUGGUUCUACUGAAAAGACAAUUCAUGCUUUGUAUAAAAAGUUGAAUCUUCCACUUCCUUCAACCUUGUCUGAUCCUACGGAAGAUGAGCUUGGGACAGGCUCUAGUGAUGAUAACAUGAGUGAUUGA